rnacentral:rRNA from 1 species
CGGACGGGUGAGUAACGCGUGGAAAACCUGCCGUAUACUGGGGGAUAACACUUAGAAAUAGGUGCUAAUACCGCAUAAGCGCACAGCUUCGCAUGAAGUGGUGUGAAAAACUCCGGUGGUAUACGAUGGUUCCGCGUCUGAUUAGCCAGUUGGCAGGGUAACGGCCUACCAAAGCGACGAUCAGUAGCCGGCCUGAGAGGGCGGACGGCCACACUGGGACUGAGACACGGCCCAGACUCCUACGGGAGGCAGCAG